GUGUUCGCUUUGGCAGCACACACUAAAACUAGAACUAUACAGGGAAGAUUAGAACGGCCCCUGCGCAAGGAUGACAUGGAAAUUCAUGGAGUGUUACAUAUUUUU
ensembl:snRNA U6 U6 spliceosomal RNA